rnacentral:rRNA from 1 species
GACGAACGCUGGCGGCGUGCCUAACACAUGCAAGUCGAGCGAUGAAGCCCUUCGGGGUGGAUUAGCGGCGGACGGGUGAGUAACACGUGGGUAACCUGCCUCAAAGUGGGGGAUAGCCUUCCGAAAGGAAGAUUAAUACCGCAUAAAAUGCUUUAAUCGCAUGGUUGAAGCAUCAAACGAGUAAUCGGCUUUGAGAUGGACCCGCGGCGCAUUAGCUAGUUGGUGAGGUAACGGCUCACCAAGGCGACGAUGCGUAGCCGACCUGAGAGGGGGAACGGCCACAUGUGAACUGAGACACGGUCCAGAACCCUACGGGAGGCAGCAGUGGGGAAUAUUGCGCAAUGGAGGAAAAUCUGACGCAGCAACGCCGCGUGAAUGAUGAAGGCCUUAGGGUUGUAAAGUUCUGUCUUCUGGGACGAUAAUGACGGUACCAGAGGAGGAAGCCACGGCUAACUACGUGCCAGCCGCCGCCGUAA